rnacentral:rRNA from 1 species
GAUGAACGCUGGCGGCGUGCCUAAUACAUGCAAGUCGAGCGAACAGACGAGGAGCUUGCUCCUCUGACGUUAGCGGCGGACGGGUGAGUAACACGUGGAUAACCUACCUAUAAGACUGGGAUAACUUCGGGAAACCGGAGCUAAUACCGGAUAAUAUAUUGAACCGCAUGGUUCAAUGGUGAAAGACGGUUUUGCUUUCACUUAUAGAUGGAUCCGCGCCGCAUUAGCUAGUUGGUAAGGUAACGGCUUACCAAGGCAACGAUGCGUAGCCGACCUGGGAGGGUGAUCGGCCACACUGGAACUGAGACACGGUCCAGACUCCUACGGGAGGCAGCAGUAGGGAAUCUUCCGCAAUGGGCGAAAGCCUGACGGAGCAACGCCGCGUGAGUGAUGAAGGUCUUCGGAUCGUAAAACUCUGUUAUUAGGGAAGAACAAAUGUGUAAGUAACUAUGCACGUCUUGACGGUACCUAAUCAGAAAGCCACGGCUAACUACGUG